UAGAUUGGCCAUGGUCGAUACCUAACAAAGUAGGGUUGUGUGAUUUUAUCUUGUCAGUGAACCAUGGUAGGCUCUUUACGUUCCUUCGCUUACUCUAUACGCCAUAGUAAUGACACGUAGGUCACCUACAGUGAUAUGGUUUGUGAUCUGGAAAUAUUGAGGAAUUAUUCAUCUGCAUAUACAUUGUACUAAAGAAGCUUAACAGUAUCUAAGAAAUGUAUAUCAAGAUUGGUUUUCAAAGGUCAGUUUCCAUCGUAGUUUGUCUGUUGUUGGUGUCCUUGAUCAUCUUAGCAAGUUACUUUACUGACCUUUACAGACUUCUACGUCCAACUUAUCCUGAGCAUCGCAAUUCUUUAAUAGGUCAUCGAGGUAAACACAAACAUGAAAAAUCCAAAUGGAGACUAACCACUGGGUCGUUGCAUAAGGCCCCAUGGAGUAAUCAUCCUGAAUCUUUAACACUUUCGGCGCGGACAAAGAAACCAUUACAACAGGAGUUUAUAGCAAAGGAUCGACAAGGCCCUCCGGUUCACCACGUUGCUUUUCUAAAGGUUCACAAAGUCGCCAGCACAAGUGUUCAAAAUAUCUUCUAUCGAUAUGGCUAUUAUCAUGACCUAGCCGUCGCUCAGCCUUUGGGCAGAACUGGUCUCCCAUGGCAUUUAAGGCUGAACGAGAAAAAUUACAUCCACCAGCACGGGGUCAAAUGAUGUAUGACAUUAUGUGUAUCCAUGCUACGUACAAGAGAAAGGCAUUUAAUAAGCUGCUUCCAAACGACACCGUGUACAUAGGGAUUGUACGGGAGCCAUUUAAACAGUUUUCAUCAAGUUUGAAUUAUUAUCACGCAAAUAAACUAUGGGCUAUUCCAGGACCAAACCCAGUGCGGACAUUUCUCGCGAAUGCUCAAAACAUGUCAAUUUUAAAUCCUAGUGUAUUCAAUACUCAGUCACGUGACUUGGGGUUCCCGGUCAAAUUACUUUCGUCUAAGUACGACGCAUAUAGAUUUCAUAGUUUUCUACAACAAUUGGAUAGUGAACUCGAUCUUGUUUUGGUUGUUGAGUGUUUUGACGAAUCUAUAAUCUUAAUGAGGAGACUUUUGAAAUGGGAUUUAAAAGAUGUUAUAACAAGCAAACUUAACAGCAAACGGAUUCCUUUUCGUUUUCAUUUUGGUUCAACAGAGGAGAUGCUUUUAAAACAAAUAUCGUUGUAUGAUUAUGCUUUAUACGAUUUCUUUAAAAAGAAACUCAAGGCAAAAAUAGAUCAACAGCCCCCAGAUUUCCAUGAGGAAGUAUCCUAUUUUAGACAGAUCAAAACAAAAUAUCACGACUUCUGUUUAUCGUUACGGAGUCAGAGCUAUGGCGUACACAAAGUGUUAUGGUUUGAGGGAAGUACUUGGAACAAACCGUUCAAUGUCACAAAUACAGACUGUACUUUAUUUUUUCUUAGAGAGGUCCAGUUUUCUCACCUAUUAAAAACCAAAAUGGGUUAUCAUAUACAAAAUGCGAGAAUGAGAAAUAGGAAUGUAAGACUCCCUUUUUAAUUUGACAAAUAGAAAAUAUGAACGAGAAAACACACUUGAUGUUUAAGAGCUGUUUAUAGUAACAAUGAGUAGGCAUCAACAAUAUGUUCUAAUUGUAAGGUAAACAUGAUUUAGAUAAGAUUGUGAUGAUUGUUUCGUUAAAACCUCUUUUAUAUUCAUGAAACACCUGAGUAAUGCACAUUACUUAAACUAAAUUGACGUAGCAGGUAUGUAUGCUUGGUAGAGUAAUUUAACAGAUUGUAUAUUAUUGGAUAACAGAUUGUGAUUAAAAUGACAAAAAUGUUUUGUUUAA